rnacentral:rRNA from 1 species
CCUACGGGUGGCAGCAGUGGGGAAUAUUGGACAAUGGGGGGAACCCUGAUCCAGCCAUGCCGCGUGUGUGAAGAAGGCCUUUUGGUUGUAAAGCACUUUAAGCGAGGAGGAGGCUACCUAGAUUAAUACUUUAGGAUAGUGGACGUUACUCGCAGAAUAAGCACCGGCUAACUCUGUGCCAGCAGCCGCGGUAAUACAGAGGGUGCGAGCGUUAAUCGGAUUUACUGGGCGUAAAGCGUGCGUAGGCGGCCAAUUAAGUCAAAUGUGAAAUCCCCGAGCUUAACUUGGGAAUUGCAUUCGAUACUGGUUGGCUAGAGUAUGGGAGAGGAUGGUAGAAUUCCAGGUGUAGCGGUGAAAUGCGUAGAGAUCUGGAGGAAUACCGGUGGCGAAGGCGGCCCCCUGGACGAAGACUGACGCUCAGGUGCGAAAGCGUGGGGAGCAAACAGGAUUAGAUACCCUCGUAGUC